GACGAACGCUGGCGGCGUGCCUAAUACAUGCCAGUUGAGCGCUGAAGGUUGGUACUUGUACCAACUGGAUGAGCAGCGAACGGGUGAGUAACGCGUGGGGAAUCUGCCUUUGAGCGGGGGACAACAUUUGGAAACGAAUGCUAAUACCGCAUAAAAACUUUAAACACAAGUUUUAAGUUUGAAAGAUGCAAUUGCAUCACUCAAAGAUGAUCCCGCGUUGUAUUAGCUAGUUGGUGAGGUAAAGGCUCACCAAGGCGAUGAUACAUAGCCGACCUGAGAGGGUGAUCGGCCAGAUUGGGACUGAGACACGGGCCAAACGCCUACGGGAGGCAGCAGGAGGGAAUCUUCGGCAAUGGACGCAAGUCUGACCGAGCAACGCCGCGUGAGGGAAGAAGGUUUUCGGAUCGUAAAACUCUGUUGGUAGAGAAGAAAGUUGGUGGGAGUGGAAAGCUCAUCAAGUGACGGUAACUACCCAGAAAGGGACGGCUAACUACGUG
rnacentral:rRNA from 1 species